AAACGGGCAUCAAUAUGAAACGCAUGGUGGCACUUCACGUGACCAAGGUAAUGAAGACCAAGUCUCCAGAACUCAACUCAGCAUCCAGCUUGAAAAAGGGAGCAAGGUCAUUUUACACACAAAGUGAAGCCACUACAGAGAUGGAGGGUGCUUUCCUGAUCAAUUCCCUGAUCAGAAAAAUUAAAUCAGCCGGUUUGUGAUCCGCUGAAGAUCCAUCCAGCUGCAAAGGAUGGAGCCUUAACUACUAAACCACAUUAAAGUAUUUUGGAGCAUCUCCUGUAUCAGGGUGUGAAGCAGUGAUCCCUGCGGACCGGCAACACAGAUGCAAAUGAGUCUUUGGCUGACGUUUCCAUGGCGUCUGAUCCUAUGGAAAUGACGUGCUCCUGCUGCUGCUGCUGAUGGAAAAGUGGCAGAUUGAAAGUUUACCUCACACACCAAGAAGAAAUGAAACAUCUCUCGCUCUGGCUAGCAGCCUACAAACAUUACAACAGUGGAAACAUGAACAUCCUGAGGUACCUGUGAAUCUACGCCUUCAGCCACCUGACGUGGACAUCUAACAUCUUGCACCUUAAGUCAAAAAAGCCGAACAGAGACUCUUCAAUCCUGAGGACGCAGAAACAGGCUCAGCACCUGCAGCAACACUCCAGAAAAUACUCAUCAGAGGAGGACACAAACAACUAAACUUCUUAAAGGUCUCCGUCAGGCCGUAUCCCUGACCCACCGGGCAGCAGAAACACACGUUCAUGAAGCGUUGCGUGGCGGCGGAGAGCGGCGCUCCACCUGAAAGUAAGACUCUUAUAUGACCUCCCAGGAGAGCGCGGAUUUUCCUGAACACCAGCCUGGACAGAGGGCAGAGGGUUUACAGAGGAUACAGGAUGGACAUGAGAAUACAACUUUGGAGGGAAUUCUUUAGAACUCUGGUGUAAAAAGUCAUGCACACACUUGUCACACAGAGGUGUGCUGUAUCCUUUGCAAAGCUGCUCCAGUUUGUAGUUAUAUGCAAGAAUGAAGAGCGUUCGCUGGACACAGUUCAUCUCCUCCACCUUCAUCAUCACGUUUUUAUAGAUUCGAUCCAUGAUCUCCUGCAGCCAGGAAGAAAAAAGGGAAAAGGUCAUGAGAUCUAAAGUACGAAUAGAAAAUCAUCAAAGGAAAACUUAGACAAUAUACUGCAAUGAAAGCUUUGGACACAAUA